rnacentral:rRNA from 1 species
AUUGAACGCUGGCGGCAGGCCUAACACAUGCAAGUCAAACGGUAGCACAGAGAGCUUGCUCUCGGGUGACGAGUGGCGGACGGGUGAGUAACGUCUGGGAAACUGCCCGAUGGAGGGGGAUAACUACUGGAAACGGUAGCUAAUACCGCAUAACGUCGCAAGACCAAAGUGGGGGACCUUCGGGCCUCACACCAUCGGAUGUGCCCAGAUGGGAUUAGCUAGUAGGUGGGGUAAUGGCUCACCUAGGCACCGAUCCCUAGCUGGUCUGGGAGGAUGACCAGCCUCGCUGGAACUGAGACGCGGUCCAGACUCCUACGGGAGGCAGCAGUGGGGAAUAUUGCACAAUGGGCGCAAGCCUGAUGCAGCCAUGCCGCGUGUAUGAAGAAGGCCUUCGGGUUGUAAAGUACUUUCAGCGGGGAGGAAGGCGGUGAAGUUAAUAACUUCACCGAUUGACGUUACCCGCAGAAGAAGCACCGGCUAACUCCGUGCCAGCCGCCGCCGUAA